rnacentral:lncRNA from 1 species
AAAGCCGCAAAGGGAGGGGUUGGGGGAGGUUCCGGCUUGGAGAACACGUGGAGAGUCUGGGGCAGGGAGCUGCACGCGCUUUCCCUGCACCUCACCCUACGCCUCUCUUCCUUCCAGCUCUUCUGGGGUUGAUGGCAGGAGAAAAUAAAUGUUAAGCUUUCCGUGCUGGAGGUCAAGGGCAAAGCC